ACGGGAGGCAGCAGUGGGGAAUUUUGGACAAUGGGCGCAAGCCUGAUCCAGCAAUGCCGCGUGUGUGAAGAAGGCCUUCGGGUUGUAAAGCACUUUUGUCCGGAAAGAAAACCUCCGCCCUAAUAUGGUGGGGGGAUGACGGUACCGGAAGAAUAAGCACCGGCUAACUACGUGCCAGCAGCCGCGGUAAUACGUAGGGUGCAAGCGUUAAUCGGAAUUACUGGGCGUAAAGCGUGCGCAGGCGGUUCGCUAAGACAGAUGUGAAAUCCCCGGGCUUAACCUGGGAACUGCAUUUGUGACUGGCGGGCUAGAGUAUGGCAGAGGGGGGUAGAAUUCCACGUGUAGCAGUGAAAUGCGUAGAGAUGUGGAGGAAUACCGAUGGCGAAGGCAGCCCCCUGGGCCAAUACUGACGCUCAUGCACGAAAGCGUGGGGAGCAAACAGGAUUAGAUACCCUGGUAGUCCACGCCCUAAACGAUGUCAACUAGUUGUCGGGUCUUCAUUGACUUGGUAACGUAGCUAACGCGUGAAGUUGACCGCCUGGGGAGUACGGUCGCAAGAUUAAAACUCAAAGGAAUUGACGGGGACCCGCACAAGCGGUGGAUGAUGUGGAUUAAUUCGAUGCAACGCGAAAAACCUUACCUACCCUUGACAUGUAUGGAACCCUGCUGAGAGGUGGGGGUGCCCGAAAGGGAGCCAUAACACAGGUGCUGCAU
rnacentral:rRNA from 1 species